AUGAACGCUAGCGACAGGCCUAACACAUGCAAGUCGAGGGGCAGCGGGGAGGUAGCAAUACCUUUGCCGGCGACCGGCGCACGGGUGAGUAACACGUAUGCAAUCCACCUGUAACAGGGGGAUAACCCGGAGAAAUCCGGACUAAUACCCCAUGAUAUGGGCUCUCCGCAUGGAGGGUCCAUUAAAGAGAGCAAUCUUGGUUACAGACGAGCAUGCGCUCCAUUAGCCAGUUGGCGGGGUAACGGCCCACCAAGGCGACGAUGGAUAGGGGUUCUGAGAGGAAGGUCCCCCACAUUGGAACUGAGACACGGUCCAAACUCCUACGGGAGGCAGCAGUGAGGAAUAUUGGUCAAUGGUCGGCAGACUGAACCAGCCAAGUCGCGUGAGGGAAGACGGCCCUACGGGUUGUAAACCUCUUUUGUCGGAGAGUAAAGUGCGCUACGCGUAGCGCAUUGCAAGUAUCCGAAGAAAAAGCAUCGGCUAACUCCGUGCCAGCAGCCGCGGUAAUACGGAGGAUGCAAGCGUUAUCCGGAUUUAUUGGGUUUAAAGGGUGCGUAGGCGGCACGCCAAGUCAGCGGUGAAAUUUCCGGGCUCAACCCGGACUGUGCCGUUGAAACUGGCGAGCUAGAGUGCACAAGAGGCAGGCGGAAUGCGUGGUGUAGCGGUGAAAUGCAUAGAUAUCACGCAGAACCCCGAUUGCGAAGGCAGCCUGCUAGGGUGCGACAGACGCUGAGGCACGAAAGCGUGGGUAUCGAACAGGAUUAGAUACCCUGGUAGUCCACGCAGUAAACGAUGAAUACUAACUGUUUGCGAUACAAUGUAAGCGGUACAGCGAAAGCGUUAAGUAUUCCACCUGGGGAGUACGCCGGCAACGGUGAAACUCAAAGGAAUUGACGGGGGCCCGCACAAGCGGUGGAGCAUGUGGUUUAAUUCGAAGCAACGCGAAGAACCUUACCAGGUCUUGACAUCGAUCUAAAGGCUCCAGAGAUGGAGAGAUAGCUAUAGAGAAGACAGGUGGUGCAUGGUUGUCGUCAGCUCGUGCCGUGAGGUGUCGGCUUAAGUGCCAUAACGAGCGCAACCCCUAUGGACAGUUACUAACGGGUGAAGCCGAGGACUCUGUCUAGACUGCCGGCGCAAGCCGCGAGGAAGGUGGGGAUGACGUCAAAUCAGCACGGCCCUUACGUCCGGGGCGACACACGUGUUACAAUGGCAGGUACAGAAGGCAGCCAGUCAGCAAUGACGCGCGAAUCCCGAAAACCUGUCUCAGUUCGGAUUGGAGUCUGCAACCCGACUCCAUGAAGCUGGAUUCGCUAGUAAUCGCGCAUCAGCCAUGGCGCGGUGAAUACGUUCCCGGGCCUUGUACACACCGCCCGUCAAGCCAUGGAAGCCGGGAGUACCUGAAGCAUGCAACCGCAAGGAGCGUACGAAGGUAAUACCGGUAACUGGGGCU
rnacentral:rRNA from 1 species